GAUGAACGCUGGCGGCGUGCCUAAUACAUGCAAGUCGAGCGAACGGACGAGAAGCUUGCUUCUCUGAUGUUAGCGGCGGACGGGUGAGUAACACGUGGAUAACCUACCUAUAAGACUGGGAUAACUUCGGGAAACCGGAGCUAAUACCGGAUAAUAUUUUGAACCGCAUGGUUCAAAAGUAAAAGACGGUCUUGCUGUCACUUAUAGAUGGAUCCGCGCUGCAUUAGCUAGUUGGUAAGGUAACGGCUUACCAAGGCAACAAUGCAUAGCCGACCUGAGAGGGUGAUCGGCCACACUGGAACUGAGACACGGUCCAGACUCCUACGGGAGGCAGCAGUAGGGAAUCUUCCGCAAUGGGCGAAAGCCUGACGGAGCAACGCCGCGUGAGUGAUGAAGGUCUUCGGAUCGUAAAACUCUGUUAUUAGGGAAGAACAUAUGUGUAAGUAACUGUGCACAUCUUGACGGUACCUAAUCAGAAAGCCACGGCUAACUACGUG
rnacentral:rRNA from 1 species